rnacentral:rRNA from 1 species
CGGGGUGAGUAAUGCUUGGGAAUCUGGCUUAUGGAGGGGGAUAACUACGGGAAACUGUAGCUAAUACCGCGUAGUGUCGAGAGACGAAAGUGCGGGACCGAAAGGCCGCAUGCCAUGAGAUGAGCCCAAGUGGGAUUAGGUAGUUGGUGGGGUAAAGGCCUACCAAGCCUGCGAUCUCUAGCUGGUCUGAGAGGAUGGCCAGCCACACUGGAACUGAGACACGGCCCAG